GAUGAACGCUGGCGGCGUGCCUAAUACAUGCAAGUCGAGCGAACAGACGAGGCGCUUGCUCCUCUGACGUUAGCGGCGGACGGGUGAGUAACACGUGGAUAACCUACCUAUAAGGCUGAGAUCACUUCGGGAACCCUGAUCUAAUACCGGACAAUAUAUUGAACCGCAUGGUUCAAUAGUGAAAGACGGUUUUGCUGUCCCUUAUAGAGGGAUCCUCGCCGCAUUAGCUAGUUGGUAAGGUAACGGCUUACCAAGGCGACGAUGCGUAGCCGACCUGAGAGGGUGAUCAGCCACACUGGAACUGAGACACGGUCCAGACUCCUACGGGAGGCAGCAGUAGGGAAUCUUGCGCAAUGGGCGAAAGCCUGACGGAGCAACGCCGCGUGAGUGAUGAAGGUCUUCGGAUCGUAAAACUCUGUUAUUAGGGAAGAACAAAUGUGUAAGUAACUAUGCACGUCUUGACGGUACCUAAUCAGAAAGCCACGGCUAACUACGUG
rnacentral:rRNA from 1 species